CCCUUCUCUCUGCCUGCUGGUGCUGCUGCUCGCCGUCUCCCGCGCUCUCCACGCGUUCCCUGCCGACGUCGACCCCAUCACCAUCACUGUCGGCAGAGACAGCGAGAGUCUCCCCGUGUUCCUGGGAGAGGACGACUCCACCAACAGCAGCCUCAACGUCCAGCUGCUGCUCCUGAUCGGAGCACGCCUGCUCAUAGCAGGGCGGGACCACGUGUUCACUGUGGAUCUGAGCCGCCCCGUGCAUGGCGCCAUCACCCACA